CUGUCUCUUCAACAAUCCCCCACUUAACCCCAGAAUCAUGCAUUAUCUCCUCAAAAAUACCCCAUUUAAACAAAAUCACACAUUUUCUCUUCAAAAAUCCCCCUUUUAUCCCCAAAAUCACACAACUUCUCUUGCAAGUCCCCAUUCAACCCGAACAUAUCUUGCCUUUUCUCUUGGAAAAUCCCAUUGAGAAUCCUGAUUUAAACUGAAAUCUCUUCGAGAAUCCCUGAUUCAUCCAAAAAACACACAUUUUCUCUUCAAAAAUCCCCCUUUAUCCCAAAAAUCACACAACUUCUCUUGCAAGUCCCC
rnacentral:lncRNA from 7 species